CUACGGGCGGCAGCAGUGGGGAAUAUUGGACAAUGGGGGAAACCCUGAUCCAGCAAUGCCGCGUGUGUGAAGAAGGCCUGCGGGUUGUAAAGCACUUUCGGUUGGGAGGACUGCUUCUAGCACUAAUAUUGUUGGAAGUUGACGUUACCUUCAGAAGAAGCACCGGCUAACUCCGUGCCAGCAGCCGCGGUAAUACGGGGGUGCAAGGCGUUAAUCGGAAUUACUGGGCGUAAAGCGCGCGUAGGCGGCUAGAUCAGUCGGGUGUGAAAGCCCCGGGCUUAACCUGGGAACUGCAUCCGAUACUGUCUAGCUUGAGUACAGGAGAGGAGAGUGGAAUUCCACAUGUAGCGGUGAAAUGCGUAGAUAUGUGGAGGAACACCAAUGGCGAAGGCAGCUCUCUGGCCUGAUACUGACGCUGAGGUGCGAAAGCGUGGGGAGCAAACAGGAUUAGAUACCCCAGUAGUC
rnacentral:rRNA from 1 species